rnacentral:rRNA from 1 species
UUAAAUGGCCGCAGUAUUUUGACUGUGCUAAGGUAGCAUAAUCAUUAGUUUUUUAAUUGAAAGCUGGAAUGAAGGGUUUGAUGAGAAAUUAACUGUCUCUAUUUUAUUUGUUAAAAUUUUAUUUUUAAGUUAAAAAGCUUAAAUUUUAUUAAAAGACGAGAAGACCCUAUAGAGUUUUAUAAAAAUUUACAUUUUUUAGUUUAGAUUUAAAUUUAAAAUUUAAUUAUUUAUUUAAUUGGGGUGAUUGAAAAAUUUAAUUAACUUUUUUUUUAUUUUAAUAUUUAUAAAUAAAUUAUUGAUCCAAUAAUAUUGAUUAUAAGAUUAAAUUACCUUAGGGAUAACAGCGUAGUUUUAUUGGAGAGUU